rnacentral:misc_RNA from 1 species
ACAGCAUAAUCUGCACCAUUACGCAUCAUAUUGGCGUUGCAUAUGUGAUGCUUAGGAAGCCCCCCUCCAAGAACGAUGAUUCCAGUCUUCCUAGGACUUGCAUGGACAGCUUCACCAUUCAUAGCCCUGAUGUCUUGAACAAUGUCAACAAUUAGACCUGGGCUGCGAAAGGAGUGAAAGUACAACAUGUCCCCCAAAGAACCAUCUGUUAAACCUGGACAAAAUACUGGAAUGUUGUUCUGCAAAUUAUCAAAUAGAAUGUCAAAAACAUUUUUAAAGGUUGCAAUAAAACAAUAAUGAUAAGGCUGAAAGCCAUUAUCUAUUAUAUUAUCAUGCCUAACCACCUACUUUUUCAUCUACUGGAGCUACACGCUUCUAUCUUUGGUCAAAAUUUUGACCAGAUAUGAUGCAAUGAGCAGCGCUUAACAAUUUUAGGGGUUCUAUUUGUUGCAUGAUUCCUAUUUUUAGUGAAACAAACUCAACGGAGAAUCCAAUUGUUCAGCAAUUUUGCACGAGUGGCUUCUCUCAAGCCUAAAAACCUUGGUUGCAAGACCAAGACAUUUACACUUGCACUAAACAAUAACACUAAAAUUGAUAUGGAGUUAUGGACAAUUCUGCAUGUGUUGCAUUUAAAUGUCAUAUAUCUCAAUGUAAUCAAUCCUAAACGCAAAGGAGAAUUUAGUAGACAGACAAUAGCACGUACAGUUUCUAUACCCUCUGUUAAGCACAGCUUACUAUUCAAACCUAAAAGCUACCAAUGGAAGUGCAAACUUUUUAUUUUUUUACCUCCCAUUCCUGAUUCAUUAUGAAUUUCGCAAUAUCUAUCUAGUCAUUAUACCCAAUGGAUAAAACCACAUCGUUGAAGUGUUACUGAAUGUUCAUACAACACUACUUAUCCAAUGUACUCUAUGCAAAAUAUAUAUUUUAUACCAAACUUAAGAAGAAUGAUGCAAGUGGGGCAAGGUCCAUAAAGUAUAAUGCAAAGAGAAUUUGUUUGAUUGAUAGCUUAACAAUUUGAGUCAUAAUCAAAAAUUUCUUAUAGCAUAAGAUGCUCAAAAUAACCACAAGUAAUAUAAUUUUC